UUUAAACCCCUGAGGUUAUGAGCGCAUUGGAUUCCAUUAGAGCAACCUGAAAGACACAACCAAUACAAGCACUAUAGUUUGUAGACUCUAAUCUAAUGCCCUCAUGCUGCCCCCAGUUUUCAAAAUCGACCCAGCUAAUCACAGUACAGUCAGAAUUUAAAAAAAGCAAUAAUUCAAACUUUCGCAUUCGAUACUUGUGUAAUCAUUACUCUAAUUCUGUUUCAAAACGUUUUGCAACAAACAAUUUACUCCAAACAGAAAAUGCAUACGACAGUUUAUAUUGGACUAAUUCAGGUAGGCCCGGUUUCGUUCGCCUUGUUUGCUUUCGUUUGGUUCUUGGUAAACGGUCAGUUUUCAGUCCGUACGCGUCGAACACACCGACUGUGUCUUGCGUUUUGGUGCACCAGAACUACAUUCAUUUCCAGUGGAACGCUGCGUUUCCCUUAUAUUGCGUUGCAGAGGCAGUUGUAAUCCGUUGUGUAGUAAAUCGAAUGUAUGCAUUAAAUUGUAUGCGUAGAAUGUUGAAUUUUUGUUGCACACAUAUCCAGUAAAAAAAGUGGGAUUCCAUAAUAAAGUUGAAUUACAUAAUUUCUUUACAUAUUUUAUUCAUUUAUUUGCCAAGUAGCAUACAUAUUUAUAAGGUGAAAUCAAAAAAUUGUGAGAGCCUAUCAUUUACCUCAAAUGCAUAGUUUUGGAGCGAAAUGCAAUAAUAAAUAGUCUAUAUAGCAGCGUAGGCUCUUUCAACAAUGAGACCAACGUUGUGGAAGGUGGUCUUGAUCGCGUUGUUGGGCCGGUGUUCGGGGCCAGCCCCGCGGAAAGCGCAGGUCUGUGUGGGUCCAGAAAUGGUUGAUGUCCCGAAAGCAUGGAGGGGAGUUCCGUAUCAUUCAAAAGCUUCGAUUGGUGAGGAAUUUCUAAGUUACUUUCGUCUGGACUGCAGCCAGUUCAAUCACCUGCUCCGGAUUGUUGGAGCCAGAAUCGCCCCGAUGGAAACCAACUACCGGAAGUCCAUCAGCCCAGUUGAACGCCUGGCGAUUUUUCUCCCAUUCUUGGGGACGGGAUUCAGCUUCGGUGUUGGACGGUCCACAGUGGUAGGCAUUGUCCCCUCUGUGGCACACGCCAUUUGGGACUGUCUGGUUGGUGAAUACAUGUCUGUCCCCAAGGAGGAAGACUGGAGGGCCAUUGCUGCAGAGUUCCUGGAGAGGUGGAAUUUCCCCAACUUUCUUGGCUCCAUUGCUGGGAAACAUGUAGUAAUCCAGGCUCCACCGUGCUCGGGUUUGCAAUUCUACAACAAGGGUACAUAUUAAGUUGUACUCUUGGCUGUUGUAGAUGCCAUCUACUGUUUCCAUGUCGUCAAUGUUGGUGCUUACGGCAAGGGAAGUGAUGGCGGGACCCUCCGGGAGAUUCCUAGAAGAAAAAUAAACUCACACCUAUUUAGGUGAGGUGCUGGCUAGCCGAGUAGAAAACUUGAAAAUAAAGGAGAGCUGCACACUAGGAGCUUAGAUCCAAAAUCUACAUUUUUUUUUUUUGCAUCUGAGCUCCUAGAGUGUGCAGCUCUCCUUUAUUUUCAAACCCUGGAGAUUCCACCACCUGCAUCACUCCCUGAGGCUGAAGACCUGGGACCUGUUCCCCACGUCUUCGUCGGCAUGAGGCCUUUCCUUGAGACCCAACCUCACGAGGCUCUAUGCUGGACACCAGCUGCCAUUGCCAAAGGCUGUAAGAAUCUUUAACAAACGACUAUCCAGGUCAAGGUUAGUUGUUGAAUGCGUCUUUGGGGGUCUGGCAGCCUGGUGGAGAAAUGUAUCGGAGAGUGCUUGGUCUCAGCCCCUCAAAUGUCGAUGCCUGCAUGAAGACCACAUGUUCUCCACAACUACCUGCAGAGGUCAUUCCAGGAGCCACUCCGGAUGGAGACGGGCACGCUAAAUGGUCACCUACCUGAUGUCACCAGGGUAGGUGCCAACACCCCCAGGCAGGCACUCCAGGUGAAGAAGAAGCUGACCACCUACUUCAUCGCCGGCAGGUGAAGUCCCAUGGCAGUAUGCCGUGAAGUGAAACGGCUCUUUUAAGAGCCCUUUAACACCAAGGUUAUUUUAAGAAACAUCUACCGUUGUCCACAAAAUUGCAGGACCUCUAAGGUUAUAAGACAUACAGUUAGUAUGAUAAUGGGAAAAGGUAACCUAGAGUCCAUACAAAUAGUACAGUUUACCACCAUCUUCACUGCUCUGACACAAUGCAGGUGGGGGAAAAAACAAUUAGAAAGAGUGCGUUUACUUUCAUCUUGUCUAAAUGAGAUAUUAAUAAACAAAUGAAAAUGACUAUGAAAACAUUAGAAUUUAAUAAGUAUUCAAGUACAGGAAAGAACAUGACAGGUAUGUGUUGUAAAAAUGUUUUAAAAAAUAACUUGUGUGUAAAAAUACAACAAUUAAAUGUG